CAGUCGCCACGGUAAUACGAAGGGUGCAAGCGUUACUCGGAAUUACUGGGCGUAAAGCGUGCGUAGGUGGUUGUUUAAGUCUGCUGUGAAAGCCCUGGGCUCAACCUGGGAAUUGCAGUGGAUACUGGGCGACUAGAGUAAGGUAGAGGAUAGUGGAAUUUCCGGUGUAGCAGUGAAAUGCGUAGAGAUCGGAAGGAACAUCUGUGGCGAAGGCGACUAUCUGGGCCAUUACUGACACUGAGGCACGAAAGCGUGGGGAGCAAACAGGAUUAGAUACCCCCGUAGUCCCUGUCUCUUAUAC
rnacentral:rRNA from 1 species